rnacentral:lncRNA from 1 species
GGUGCAGGUGGAUCAAGCACGAGAUGCGAGACUCAGAAGGACAACAGGUGACAUUGCAAGGUAAAGUUCCUAUUAUCACAGGAGACUAUCCUAAGCAGAUCUCAGGUCGGGUAGAGCACAGCAUAGAUGUAGAUAUGAUCAAGCGGCCUGGCUCGACUCUCAUGUUUGCCUAUCUAUGAUCAGCAGGCAUAUGGCCCAGGGCAUGUAGGUGAGAUCAUCUAGAAAGCACUCAUGGUUAGAUAGAGGCUGAAUGUGGAGUUGAGGUGGAG